UACGGAGGGUGCAAACGUUGUUCGGAAUCACUGGGCAUAAAGAGCACGUAGGCUGCGCGCUAAGUCAGGUGUGAAAUCCCCCGGCUCAACCGGGGAACUGCACCUGAUACUGGCGUGCUCGAGGACGGUAGGGGUGAGUGGAACUCCAGGUGGAGCGGUGAAAUGCGUAGAUAUCUGGAGGAACACCGGUGGCGAAAGCGGCUCACUGGACCGUCUCUGACGCUGAGGUGCGAAAGCUAGGGUAGCAAACGGG
rnacentral:rRNA from 1 species